ensembl:lncRNA
AUGGUGCAUGCUGUUCUUGUUAGUCAUGGGAGGACCUCAAAUAAAUGAUCAGAAGGUGCUUGUUGCAGAUGAUCGAUUGGAUUUAAGUAGUCUUAACUCUGGGAAUGACACUUUAAUGGCUCUGUGUCCAAAGAACCAAAGUCUGGUGUUCAGCCCCUACCAAAUCCACGGGCAUCUCAACCACGUCAGUGCAAACCCAAACAGUCACAGGUGCCCCAGCAACAACUAAAAGCUUCCUGCCCACCCAAGAAGCAGCCUUCAUGCCGACCCUGUCCGCCCCAGGGGCCUAGCUGCUGGCCCUGCCCACACAAGGAGCAGUCUGCCUGCCGGCCUUGCCCAACCUUGAGCUGCCAGCUAAAGCAGCCCCAAAAGCCAGAGUUGUCUGAGCAUGUUGGUGACCCAGCACUGUAUCAGCCUCAGGUGACCCAGCAGACUGGUUUGCAUCCACCCAGUCUACAUCAGGUGACCCAGCAGACUGGUUUGCAUCCACCCAGUCUACAUCAGGUGACCCAGCAGACUGGUUUGCAUCCACCCAGUCUACAUCAGGUGACCCAGCAGACUGGUUUGCAUCCACCCAGUCUACAUCAGGUGACCCAGCAGACUGGUUUGCAGCCACCCAGUCUACAUCAGGUGACCCAGCAGACUGGUUUGCAGCCACCCAGUCUACAUCAGGUGACCCAGCAGACUGGUUUGCAGCCACCCAGUCUACAUCAGGUGACCCAGCAGACUGGUUUGCAGCCACACCAUCCACCCAGCGUCCCUGAGGAGAGCCGGCAGCCUGUUGUGCAUCCACCCAGCGUCCCUGAGGAGAGCCAACAGCCUGUUGUGCAUCCACCCAGCGACCCUGAGGAGAGCCGGCAGCCUGUUGUGCAUCCACCCAGCGACCCUGAGGAGAGCCGGCAGCCUGUUGUGCAUCCACCCAGCGACCCUGAGGAGAGCCAGCAGACUGGUGUGCCUCCACUCAUUACGCCUCAGUCUAUCUCAGGUGACCCGGCAGACUGGUUUACAUCCACACCAUCUACCCAGUCUAUCUCAGGUGACCCAGCAGACUGGUUUACAUCCACACCAUCUACCCAGUCUAUCUCAGGUGACCCAGCAGACUGGUUUACAUCCACACCAUCUACCCAGUCUAUCUCAGGUGACCCGGCAGACUGGUUUACAUCCACACCAUCUACCCAGUCUAUUUCAGGUGACCCAGCAGACUGGUUUACAUCCACACCAUCUACCCAGUCUAUUUCAGGUGACCCAGCAAACCAGUUUGCAUCCACACUUUCAACUUCAGGUGACAAAGCAGACUGGUUUACAUCCACAGCAUCCACAUCAGGUACCCCAGCAAACUGGUUUGCAUUCACACUCUCUGCCUCUGGCAAUGCAGCAGAAAGGCUUCCCACCCCUGCAUCCUCAGCCACCACAGGGCCCUCAGCAGGCUGCCUUUCUGCCCCAGUACCCCCAUCCACAGGUUCCCCAGCAGGCUGUCUUUCCAUCCCUGCACCCCCAUCCGCAGGUGCCCCAGCAGGCAGUCUUCCCGCCCCUGUACCUCCAUCCGCAGGUGCCCCAGCAGGCAGUCUUCCCGCCCCUGUACCUCCAUCCGCAGGUGCCCCAGCAGGCAGUCUUCCCGCCCCUGUACCUCCAUCCGCAGGUGCCCCAGCAGGCAGUCUUCCCGCCCCUGUACCUCCAUCCGCAGGUGCCCCAGCAGGCAGUCUUCCCGCCCCUGUACCUCCAUCCGCAGGUGCCCCAGCAGGCAGUCUUCCCGCCCCUGUACCUCCAUCCGCAGGUGCCCCAGCAGGCAGUCUUCCCGCCCCUGUACCUCCAUCCGCAGGUGCCCCAGCAGGCAGUCUUCCCGCCCCUGUACCUCCAUCCGCAGGUGCCCCAGCAGGCAGUCUUCCCGCCCCUGUACCCUCAGCCUCAGCCCAUGCCUCAGCAGACAUAUUACCAAUUCAAGCAGCUUCUGGAAGCCCAAUGGCCCCAACGGCCACUCUACCAGCUCCAGGCCAAGCAGCCACGCCACCAGCCUUUCAUGUCACACUACCAAUCCCGAUUGCCAAGCUACAGUCCCAAGGUGCCACUGUACCAGGCCAAGAAGCUUCAGCACCCCCGCAGAUCAGAUACCAACCUUAA